AACGCGAAGAACCUUACCAAGGUUUGACAUGGCCGGAAAACUCGCAGAGAUGCGGGGUCCUUCGGGGCCGGUCACAGGUGGUGCAUGGCUGUCGUCAGCUCGUGUUGUGAGAUGUUGGGUUAAGUCCCGUAACGAGCGCAACCCUUAUCCUUAGUUGCCAACAUGUAAUGGUGGGGACUCUAAGGAGACUGCUGGUGAAGAACCGGAGGAAGGUGGGGACGACGUCAAGUCAUCAUGGCCUUUAUGGGUAGGGCCACACACGUGCUACAAUGGGGCGUACAGAGGGAAGCCAACCUGCGAAGGGGAGCCAAUCUCGUAAAACGUCUCGUAGUCCGGAUUGGAGUCUGCAACUCGACUCCAUGAAGUUGGAAUCGCUAGUAAUCGCGAAUCAGAACGUCGCGGUGAAUACGUUCCCGGGCCUUGUACACACCGUAGAGAC
rnacentral:rRNA from 1 species